UACGGGGGGGAGCAAGCGUUGUUCGGAUUUACUGGGCGUAAAGGGCGCGUAGGCGGCCACCGCAAGUCGACUGUGAAAUCUCCGGGCUUAACCCGGAAAGGUCAGCCGAUACUGCGGGGCUAGAGUGCAGAAGGGGCAACUGGGAAUUCUCGGUGUAGCGGUGAAAUGCGUAGGAUAUCGAGAGGAACACCUGCGGCGGAAGGCGGGUUGCUGGGCUGACACUGACGCUGAUGCGCGAAAGCUAGGGGAGCGAACGGG
rnacentral:rRNA from 1 species